UUGGUGUAGUAUAUUAAUGACCCCAAACAUGAUGCACAUCUAGUUCAUUUAAUUGAUACAUCUUGAAACUAAUCCCAGCUCUCUGAACCUGCAGUGUGAGAGAAAUUACAGGGACAAUUUUCUGUCCAAUCCUUACUUAUCUUUCAUUUCAGAUUCAUUGUUUGCUUGGAGACUAGGUGCAGCAUUGAAAAUCCUUCUUUAAAUAGACUGAUGGUAUAGGAGGGCAUCUGGUGACAGUUCAGUGAACGAGAUAAUGAAGUAACUUCUACAGGUAUAGGAGGGCAUCUGGUGACAGUUCAGUGAACGAGAUAAUGAAGUAACUUCUACAGAAUCAAGAGUCAAGUGUUCGGCGCCCUAUCCAGGGAAUGGGAGAGACGGUGACAGCUUGAAGUGCAUUUUAUCGUGAAGAUUAACAAAAGCAGAUGGAUUCAGACUGGAAGCAUCGCCAUCCUUGAUAUCAAGUUUGUGACAAGAUGGAUAUUAAAUGUAAUAUUCUUAAAGAUACGAUUUUUAAUCAACCGAAGUCCCGAGCUCAUUAAUCUCGGUAGAUAAAGAAUAUAAAACUGGAUUGUUACUGUAUGUUAAUAACGUCAACUUUGAAGUGGUCAAACAUUUUUUUUUCCCAUAAUCUUUUUCUUGUUCACAUUGAUACUGGAGGGAAAGAUAGAAGGAUUAGCAGUUUAGUAAGUGCAGUACAAUCUCAUAUUUUGGUGCAAGGUCUUAAGGUCAUAUGUAUCAUGUUCACAAGGAUGAUUAAGUCGAUAUAAAUUUAUACUGCCAGUUUUUGUGCAGCACCUGAACCAACAUGAGUAAACCUACUGUAGACAUGUUUAUCUAUCAGAUAGUUGUAAAAACAAGUAUAAAAGUUGUUUAUUGGGCUGGCCUCUUGCAAUUUUUAUAUAACCAGCCUUCAGUAUGUUGAAACUCGCCCUCAUAAUCGACCACAGCCUGCGGGCAGUGGCCAGAAUUAUUGUAAAGCAGUCUGCAAUGGUGUAUGUACCUGGUUCUAUGUGCUUCUAUUAAAAGAUUUCCGGUAUACAAACGA